GACCAAGCAGGAAUACCCGUGAACUGAAAUGAAAAUUUUUAGCAUAUAUACAUCACUUUAAGCUGCUGAAAUAAUUGAAUUUGAAAUACAAGAAUGUAACGCACGUUUACUGGAACACAAUCACCACACAUGAUGACCAAGUAUUUGCUUAACAAGAAGUUAGUUCAUGAAAAGAAACCACUCGUUCAAUAAAAGGCAAAACAGAACACAGGAAACAUACAUGUUUGUUGGGUCUA
rnacentral:misc_RNA from 1 species